rnacentral:lncRNA from 1 species
GAGAGUGUUAACAGGAAAUAUUGCUCAUAAUUUUGAGGUUAUAAGAUUAGACCAUUCCAAAGGACCCUGAAUAUUUUAAUCAUAAUUAUCUUGAAAGGCAAAUUUGAGAGAAUACUGUUGACAAAAUAGGGUAAUAAAACAUCUUUUGUCUUUGGGAUGAGCUUGCUUUUAGAUUUUAAAGCGUUAAGAUGUAUGGAACACUGUAAAUAUAGGACAUAGUAUUGGAGCAUGUAGUGGGACUAGUGACAUAAUUUUGUUCAGGAGGAGGUUUGUGAAAGGAGGGAGGGAGAGAGAGAGGGGAGGAGCAUUUGAUGACAGUUCCAUCUAAUCAAGUUACAAGAUUUUGCCAAUAGGGUAGGAAAUUGAAAGGAGUCUGUUUCCAUGUUUAAGUUGAAGCCAACACAGGAACAAACCUAUUUGACUAGAGAUAGGGAUUGCUAUGGCAACGACUGGAUCUCGACUGCACAGUCCAAAGAGCGUAACAUCCUGACGGAUGGCAGUGGCAGAGUGAUAUUUCAGGGUGCACCGCUUGAGGAGGCACAAGCUAAAUAGCUGCAAUGUUAACAAUGGAGCACAUCAGGGCCGGAAGAGCUCCCAGGACCUACCUGAUCACAGGCAGGAGGACGAGAGGCUCAGGACCAAGGACAGCAGCAACUUCAUUGGUACCCUUGGUGAUAGUCUUGUAUUGAGUGUGAAUGCAGCAAAUAGGAGUGAAUUUGAUGUCCAGCCUCCUUGAACUUCAGCCAAA